UUGAUCCUAGUUCAGGACGAACGCUAGCGGCGUGCCUAAGGUAUGCAAGUCGAACGGUUUGAUUGUCGCAAGAUAGUUGAAUAGUGGCGAACGGCUGAGUAAUACGCAGGAAUCUACCCAUAAGUAGAGGAUAGUCCCGCGAAAGCGGAAGUAAUACUCUAUGUGAUCGCAAGAUUAAAGUCGCAAGACGCUUAAGGAUGAGCCUGUGGCCUAUCAGGUAGUUGGUGGGGUAAUUGCCUACCAAGCCUAUGACGGGUAGCCGGUCUGAGAGGACGAACGGCCAGAAGGGCACUGAGACACGGGCCUUACUCCUACGGGAGGCAGCAAUUGGGAAUUUUGCACAAUGGACGAAAGUCUGAUGCAGCGACGCCGCGUGAAGGAUGACAGCCCUCGGGUUGUAAACUUCGAUAAAGCACCGGCAAACUACGUGCCAGCUGCAGCGGUCAUACGUAGGGUGCAAGCGUUGUCCGGAUUUACUCGGCGUAAAGAGUUCUGUAGGGGGUUGUGUAAGUUAAAAGUUAAAUCUCUCCGCUCAUCGGGGAAACUGCUUUUAAUACUGCAUAACUUGAGACAUCUAGGGGACAGCGGAACUUAUGGUGGAGCAGUGAAAUGCGUUGAUAUCAUAGGGAACACCAAGGGGGAAGCCAGCUGUCUGGGGAUGUACUGACGCUGAGAGACGAAAGCGUGGGUAGCGAAACGGAUUAGAUACCCGUGUAGUCCACGCCGUAAACCAUGCCUGCUAGAUACCUGGAUUUAUUUUGGGUGUCGAAGUUAACGCGUUAAGCAGGCCGCCUGGGGAGUACGGUCGCAAGGCUAAAACUCAAAGGAAUUGGCGGGGUCCCGCACAAGCGGUGGAGCAUGCUCUUUAAUUGGCUGGUAACCCAAGAACCUUACCCAGACUUGACAUGCUACCGUGUGUAGUCCCGCCGAAAGGCGGGAUGAUCCUCGGAUGGUAGCACAGGUGUUGCAUGGCUGUCGUCAGCUCGUAUCGUGAGACGUACCCUUAAGUGGGCUAACGAGCGCAACCCCUACUGUUAGUUGUAUCACUCUAGCGGAACUGCCCUGGUAACAGGGAGGAAGGUGGGGACGACGUCAAGUCAGGAUUGCCUUUAUGUCUGGGGCUAGAAGCAUGCUACAAUGGCGCGUACAGCGAGAAGCAAAUAGGCGACUAUGAGCAAAUCUCUUAAAACGCGUCUCAGUUCGGAUUGGAGUCUGCAAUUUGACUCCAUGAAGUUGGAAUCGCUAGUAAUCGGCGGUCAGCUAUACGCCGGUGAAUACGUUCUCGGGACUUGCACA
rnacentral:rRNA from 1 species